rnacentral:rRNA from 1 species
UACGUAGGGGGCAAGCGUUGUUCGGAUUUACUGGGCGUAAAGGGCGCGUAGGCGGUCCUGAUCGUCGGAUGUGAAAGGCCUGGGCUCAACCUGGGAAUGGCAUCCGAUACGGCGGGACUGGAGUGUGGGAGAGGUUGGUGGAAUUCCCAGUGUAGAGGUGAAAUUCGUAGAUAUUGGGAAGAACACCGGUGGCGAAGGCGGCCAACUGGACCACAACUGACGCUGAGGCGCGAAAGCGUGGGGAGCAAACAGG